AGUGCAUUUGCUGGGUUAUAUGGUAAUUCUUCUUGAGGAAUUGCCAAACUGUUUUCCACAGCGGCUCCACCAUUUUACAUUCCCAUUAGCAAU
rnacentral:pre_miRNA from 1 species